CGGGUGCAGUGGCUCAUGCCUGUAAUCACAGGAGUUUGGGAUGCUGAGGUGGGUGGAUUGCUUGAGGUCAGGAGUUAGAGACCAGCUUCACUGACAUGGUUAAACCCUGUCUCUACUAGAAAUACAAAAAUUAGCUGGGCAUGGUGGCAUGCGCCUGUAAUCCCAGCUACUUGGGAGGCUGAGGCAAGGAGAAUCGCUUAAACCUGGAAGGCAGAGGUUGAAGCAAGCUGAGAUCAUGCCACUGCACACCUUGAGAGGAAGAACUACAUAAAAUACAACGACAUAUUUGUUUGAAGGCAAGAGUGAGCUGCUGAGGCAGCCAGAAAUUGAGGUGCCAAACCCUCAGAUGUGAAGUUCAUUGAGAUUAUGCCUCUUCUCAUAGACUGGAAUAUGGAAGUGGAGGAGAGCCAUCUGCAAACAUGCAGAUAAGGCAAUACGCUCAAGAUGGGAGAGCAACCAAAUGAGCAAGCUUCCAUCUUCAGUACUGUCAAAUAAUUCUACCAGCCUUGGACUCCCUUCUAGGAGAUGAAUAAGGCAAACUUUGAUCCUGUUUAAGUCAAGCAAGCCAAUAUGUUUGGAGGCCUUAUUCUUAUAACAAGCAAGCCUGCAUCCUAAGUACUGUAUUGUAUUCUUGUCCACACCAUUUUUUCACUGGACUGGUCACUCCACGUGCCAGGGUUCUUUACUACUAAUCAGGUUCUUGAUUUGAAAGUGCCCAAAGUUUGUGUUUUAGAGUUGCCGUUAACCAUAUUUAAACAAGAUUUUCUUCAUUCCAAUGCACCUAAUGAAAUCUCUUUUAUAUGUUGGGAGUAAUCUUUGUUGUUCUAGAUCUACCGGGAGAGUAGCUUGCAGAUAUAAAAGUUCCCUGAAUGUUCAAAUGGAGAUUCUUUAGGAAGUAUUUGUCUGUGCAAUCUCUUUAAAACUUAAUCACUCAGCUUAUGCUCUGUGCUCCAGAUCACACUCCAAAAAUCAAACCAAUACGGAACACAACAUUCAAACAUCUCUCAACACCUUUCCCAUUUAGCUUUUCUUAAAAUUUUGUUUGCAGCAUAUAAUGUUUAUUUUACUUUUAAAAAUUGCUUUAAAUCCCAGACAAAAUCAUUUUAAAUUGCAAGUAAGCCCAGCACCUGGA
rnacentral:lncRNA from 1 species